CCUACGGGAGGCAGCAGUGGGGAAUUUUGGACAAUGGGGGAAACCCUGAUCCAGCCAUGCCGCGUGUGCGAAGAAGGCCUUCGGGUUGUAAAGCACUUUCGGCCGGAACGAAAUCGCGCGGGUGAAUAUCCCGCGUGGAUGACGGUACCGGAAGAAGAAGCACCGGCUAACUACGUGCCAGCAGCCGCGGUAAUACGUAGGGUGCGAGCGUUAAUCGGAAUUACUGGGCGUAAAGGGUGCGCAGGCGGUCCCGCAAGUCAGGCGUGAAAUCCCCGGGCUUAACCUGGGAAUGGCACUUGAAACUACGGGACUAGAGUGUGGCAGAGGGAGGUGGAAUUCCACGUGUAGCGGUGAAAUGCGUAGAUAUGUGGAGGAACACCAAUGGCGAAGGCAGCCUCCUGGGUCAACACUGACGCUCAUGCACGAAAGCGUGGGGAGCAAACAGGAUUAGAUACCCUGGUAGUCCACGCCCUAAACGAUGAUGACUAGUUGUUGGAGGAGUUAAAUCCUUUAGUAACGCAGCUAACGCGAGAAGUCAUCCGCCUGGGGAGUACGGUCGCAAGAUUAAAACUCAAAGGAAUUGACGG
rnacentral:rRNA from 1 species